rnacentral:rRNA from 1 species
GACGAACGCUGGCGGCGUGCCUAAUACAUGCAAGUAGAACGCUGAAGAGAGGAGCUUACUCUUCUUGGAUGAGUUGCGAACGGGUGAGUAACGCGUAGGUAACCUGCCUUGUAGCGGGGGAUAACUAUUGGAAACGAUAGCUAAUACCGCAUAACAAUGGAUGACACAUGUCAUUUAUUUGAAAGGGGCAAUUGCUCCACUACAAGAUGGACCUGCGUUGUAUUAGCUAGUAGGUGAGGUAAUGGCUCACCUAGGCGACGAUACAUAGCCGACCUGAGAGGGUGAUCGGCCACACUGGGACUGAGACACGGCCCAGACUCCUACGGGAGGCAGCAGUAGGGAAUCUUCGGCAAUGGGGGCAACCCUGACCGAGCAACGCCGCGUGAGGGAAGAAGGUUUUCGGAUCGUAAAGCUCGGUUGUAAGUCAAGAACGGGUGUGAGAGUGGAAAGUUCACACUGUGACGGUAGCUUACCAGAAAGGGACGGCUAACUACGUG